rnacentral:lncRNA from 1 species
UCAUUAAUACUCCUGCUUUCAAUCAACAUCCAAUCGACGUCUCUUCACGCAAAAUCGCAUGAAACCCUUAUUCCCCCCUCUCUUCUUUACCUGAUCUCUCUCCCUCUCCUUAAGCUCUCCUCUCUCCAUGCUCUCCACUUCGUCUCUUCUCGUUGGUGAGCCCCUCUCCACCGCUGCCGUCCGCCGUCUGACCAAGUCCACUGACCGUGCCGCCCGCC